GACGUAGGGCGCGAGCGUUGUCCGGAUUUAUUGGGCGUAAAGAGCUCGUAGGCGGCUUGUUGCGUCGACUGUGAAAACCCGGGGCUCAACUCCGGGCUUGCGGGCGAUACGGGCAGGCUAGAGUUCGGUAGGGGAGACUGGAAUUCCUGGUGUAGCGGUGAAAUGCGCAGAUAUCAGGAGGAACACCGGUGGCGAAGGCGGGUCUCUGGGCCGAUACUGACGCUGAGGAGCGAAAGCGUGGGGAGCGAACAGG
rnacentral:rRNA from 1 species